AGGCAGCUGAACACAGAGCAGAGUAGAGGUAGCUAGCUACAUUCUGUUUUUUUAUUGUGUAUAGGCUACGUUAUGAGUUUACCUCAUUUCUCAUUCAGGCUUUGGCUGUGUUGGGUGUUACUGCUGGGAUACCUAUCUAUGGUAAUACCCCAAGCUACCUUUCUCAAAAGGAGUAGGCACGUAUUCUGAAUCUGCAGGGUUGCAUGGAGAAGUGGAGAUCUUCAAUUACUGGAUAAUGGGUGGCUAAUAUGUGGUGGGACGUGAGAGGAGGUCAAAGCGGACAGAAGGAGAGUGAUGAAUCUUUAUCAAAUGUCCUGUCCUGUAGCACCCUCACCGACCGUCAUACUGUAGCAGGAGGAGUUGUCAGAAGCAAUCCAGCGCAUCUCUGCUUUCCUGCAGUCAGUGGCAGAUGACUCAACUACAGUAACAGUGAUCAUGCUGCGACAAUAGAGACAGCAGCAGAGAACAAACAAGCGGGUCCGGAUGCCAUUGGAUUGAACAAGAAGAAGAUUCCUACAGUUCAGAUAAUAGUGUAAUUGGACAUUCACCUGGUCCCAGACAACUUACUUACCCCAGCACGCUUCACUAAUUCACUAUGCUCCCUCUCUCUCUGUUACCAGCAGCAGAUCCAUAACAAUGAAACAGGUGACUUUCAUGCUGCUGUCAGGACUGAUCUAAUUUUAGCUGGGUGAAUGAUUGCAAUUGGCUUUGCCUCAUCAGAUAAUUAAUCUAUGUCACCAUUAAUUGGAAAAGAGAAUAAUUACAGGCAGUGUUGACAGAAACUCUACGCUUCUCCAGAUUUCGAGAUCUAAUUACGACUACUAAAACCCUCCGUGACCUUAACUAGCACUUAGUACAUCACCUCGACCACCCUGACCAAUGCCGAAGCAAAAAAACUUCCUCUCAGUAGACAUUAAGCCCUGUUUUUGUUGUUUCAUUUUUUUCUCCCUCUCCCUUUUUCUCUCUCACUCUGUGCUCUCCUAGAAAGCUGUCUCCCUCAAUCACUUUUCAAUGUUCAAUCUUCAUUUUGUGGAAGUUUAGCAUUUUCAAUGAGCUGGAUAUGAAUGAUUAAUGAAUAAAUUUAAAUGCUUCAUUUUGUCCAUGGAUCAUUAGUUAAGUCCUUUGUGUGAAGGACCUGAAAAAAGGAGUAAAAAUUAUUGAGACAUUAGCCUGGAGCAAUCUAGGGGUAAAUAGUGUGCACAUUAUAAAAUAAUGUUGUGUAGCGGGUGCAGUAUCCUACUGGCUUUCUAACUGAAGAACCCCCAGGUAACGCUGCUUUCAAUUUAGGCUGAAUCCCACAUAGUAUUUAUUUGUAGGAGAAAAUGUAUUAUUUCAUCAAGCACGUUCCCAUUGCUUUAUAGGCCUACUAAUGAUGUGGCACAUUAAUAUUUAUUACAUUUAGAUUUUUCUGUUUGAUAACAUUUGUGAUACAAAUAUUGUACUACAACAUUGUUUAUAUUAGAUUAUUGUGAUGAUACAAUUUCAAACUAUGGCGGAAAUUAGCUAUUCGGCCAUGGA
ensembl:lncRNA